rnacentral:rRNA from 1 species
ACUAUUAAACGGCCGCGGUAUCCUAACCGUGCAAAGGUAGCAUAAUCAUUUGUCUAUUAAUUGUAGACCUGUAUGAAAGGCAAAAUGAGAGCCCAACUGUCUCUUAUAACAAAUCAAUUAAACUGAUCUCCUAGUACAAAAGCUAGAAUACCUACAUAAGACCAGAAGACCCUGUGAAGCUUUAACAAACCUAUUAAACCCAAUAAUAAUUACUUUCGGUUGGGGCGACCUUGGAAUAAAAAAGAACUUCCAACACAUGACUUCCUCAUAAAACAGGCACACAAGCCUAUACUAGACCCAGCACAGCUGAUAAUUGAAAUAAGUUACUCCAGGGAUAACAGCGCCAUCUUCUUUAAGAGCCCAUAUCAAAAAGAAGGUUUACGACCUCGAUGUUGGAUCA